UACGUAGGGUGCAAGCGUUGUCCGGAAUUAUUGGGCGUAAAGAGCUCGUAGGCGGUUUGUCGCGUCUGCUGUGAAAACUCGGGGCUUAACCCCGGGCCUGCAGUGGGUACGGGCAGACUAGAGUGCGGUAGGGGAGACUGGAAUUUACGGUGUAGCGGUGAAAUGCGUAGAUAUCGUAAGGAAGACCAGUGGCGAAGGCGGGUCUCUGGACAGUUCCUGACGCUGAGGCACGAAGGUCAGGGGAGCAAACGGG
rnacentral:rRNA from 1 species